UACGGAGGGUGCAAGCGUUAUCCGGAUUUACUGGGUUUAAAGGGUGCGCAGGCGGUUAUGUAAGUCAGUGGUGAAAUCUUCCCGCUUAACGGGAAAACUGCCAUUGAUACUAUAUAUCUUGAAUGCUGUGGAGGUAAGCAGAAUAUGUCAUGUAGCGGUGAAAUGCUUAGAGAUGACAUAGAAUACCUAUUGCGAAGGCAGCUUACUACGCAGAUAUUGACGCUCAUGCACGAAAGCGUGGGGAUCAAACAGG
rnacentral:rRNA from 1 species